GACGAACUGUGCGAACGUUGUUCGGAUUCACUGGGCUUAAAGGGCGCGUAGGCGGUUCGCCAAGUCCGGGGUGAAAUCUUUCGGCUCAACCGGAAAAUUGCCUCGGAUACUGGCGGGCUAGAAGAGGGUAGGGGCCGCGGGAACUUCCAGUGGAGCGGUGAAAUGCGUUGAUAUUGGAAGGAACGCCGGUGGCGAAAGCGCGCGGCUGGACCCUCCUUGACGCUGAGUGCGCGAAAGCUAGGGUAGCGAACGGG
rnacentral:rRNA from 1 species